AGAGUUUGAUUCUGGCUCAGGAUGAACGCUGGCGGCGUGCCUAACACAUGCAAGUCGAGCGGAGAUAUAGAGAGAUUCUUCGGAUACUUCUUUAUCUUAGCGGCGGAUGGGUGAGUAACACGUGGGUAACCUGCCCUGCACAGGGGGACAACAGCUGGAAACGGCUGUUAAUACCGCAUAUGCACACGCUGCCGCAUGGCAGAGGGUGGAAAGAUUUAUCGGUGCAGGAUGGGCCCGCGUCGGAUUAACUAGUUGGCAGGGUAACGGCCUACCAAGGUUAUGAUCCGUAGCCGACCUGAGAGGGCGACCGGCCACAUUGGGACUGAGACACGGCCCAAACUCCUACGGGAGGCAGCAGUGGGGGAUAUUGCACAAUGGGCGAAAGCCUGAUGCAGCGACGCCGCGUGAAGGAAGAAGUAUUUCGGUAUGUAAACUUCUAUCAGCGGGGAAGAAGAUGACGGUACCCGACUAAGAAGCCCCGGCUAACUACGUGCCAGCAGCAGC
rnacentral:rRNA from 1 species